rnacentral:lncRNA from 1 species
CUUUCCUCUAACAACACGUGGAAGAGAAAAUACCACUUCUGAGUGAGAGAAGGUAUUUUUGGAGGUAUGUGUUACCUGUCUACCAUAUACCCCACUUAGCGUGUUUGAUACAAUUUACUUAUUAUAUUUAUUAUUUAUUAUCUAUCUAAUCUUGCUAGAAUGUAAACUUUACAAGGAAGCAUUCUUUGUCUGUUUUGUUCCCUGGAAUGUCUAAAACACUUGUAACAAUUUUGGGCAUAUAAUUAGUAUUUAAUAAAUAUUUGUUUCACUAAAACCUUCACUAAAAUGCUGGUUUAGUUCUGCUGAAUUUUGUGUUCCCCAAACUUGGUUGAUCUCAGAUCUCCUUUAAAAAAUCCACCAGACUUUUGAAUAUUAUUCAAAAAAUAAAAAAAUCUCCCCCAGAGCAACCAGUUUGGGAAAUUCUGAUUUAUAGGCAAAUCUCUGCCUUACACAUCCUCCUCAUCAAAAUUCUAGGUCCUGGCACCUUGAGAUUACUUUUUUUUUUUUUUGUCUUUUCCAGGGCCACACCUGCAGCAUAUGGAGAUUCCCAGCCUAGGGGUCUAAUCAGAACUGUAGACGCUGGCCUGCACCAGAGCCACCGCAACUCAGGAUCCGAGAUGCGUCUGCAACCCACACCAGAGCUCACAGCAAUGCUGGAUCCUUAACCCACUGGCGAGGCCAGAAAUUGAACCUGUAACCUCAUGGUUCCUAUUCGGAUUUUUUAACCACUGAGCCACAACAGGAACUCCAUCUUGAGAUUACUUUUGAUGAAUACUAAACUAUUAAGUUCACAAUGAAAUGUUAGUAGCUGAUAAAGAGUAACCAAGACCAUAAGAGGGGAUUUCUUGAAGCAAUACUUUGACUUAAAGCAUUUAAUGCUUUAAUGAAGCAUUAAAGUGGAAGUUGUCCACAUUUCAGGCCAACAGUAGAGCUAUUGGGGCCCAGGUUUUUCAGGAAUAUCUGGCAGGUCAUCUGCCUCCUCUUCACCAUCACUCAAUCCUAUCAGGGUGCCAUGGGUGCCCCCUUACAUUGUAGAAAGGGCACAUAUCCAACUGACCUCUUUAUUGAAUAAUCUUUGCUACAGUAACUACCCAUAUCAACAUUAUCAUUAAGGGAGGAAUAAAAGAAGUUUGUAUCUUGUCAGUAUGAAUUUUAAGCGUGCAUAAAAAUAAAUAUAAGGCAAUAGGCCAGGCCACAAAGAGUCGGCGCAUAGAAGCUCUUAGGAUUUCAAUUAAAUUACAGUAAGGCAUCUGUCUCUGUUGAUGCUGAAUCCACUCCUUAACCUUAUCCCUUUAGUGCUUUCUUUGCAAACCCAGUAAGCUUCUUAAGAAAAAAGCCGAAAACCACAUCUGUCAAAAUUAGAAAGUGGUAACUACUAGGAAACAAAAUUAAUCACAGGGUCAUUGGAGAAUUUCAUAAUGAUUUAAGCUCUCCCUCGCAUAAAUUGCCUCCUGUUCAUUCUCCUUCCACACUGAUGAUGUCAGCUAGUUUCUAGACCUCUGGGAGGGAGCCAAAGAGAACACUUGGAUAGCAUAGCUGUGUCUUCGGUAUUCAUCCUGGGAUAUGCAGCGAUUUUAUUUACAAAGAGAAAACACAAGGAAAGUGGAGGUCUUAUUUAUAUUGGAUCAAGAACAUCUGAAAACAACAAUAACAAAUUUUAAGCCUCCAGAAAAUUUGCAAUGUGUCUGCAUGAUGUCAAGUAGGCAAAAUAUCUUGAGUGGGAAAUUGCAAAGUCAUAGAAUGUUGACAUAGAAAUACCUUUGGAGAGCAUUUAGACUGUCUACAGUCUUCUCUUUUUUACAAAUGAGGAAACUAAGACUGGAGAGAUUAAGUAUAUACUCCAUUUGCUUUUUCUAAUUAAACUAUAGUUAAUUUACAGUGUUGUGUCAAUUUCUGCUGUGUAGCAUAGUGACCCAGUCAUACACACACACACUGUCUUUUUCUCAUACUACUUUGUUUUUAUUAUUAUUUUUUAUUUAUUAUUUAUUUAUUUAUCUUUUUAGGGAAGCACCUGUGGCAUAUGGAGGUUCCCAGGCUAGGGGUCCAUUCGGAGCUGUUGCUGCUAGCUAAUGCCAGAGCCGCAACAAUGCCAUAUAUGAGCCGGGUCUGCGACCUACACCACAGCUCAUGGCAAUGCCGGAUCCUUAACCCACUGAGCGAGGCCAGGGAUCGAACCUGCAACCUCAUGGUUCCUAGUCAGAUUCGUUUCCACUGUGCCACGAAGGGAACUCCAUUUUUUAAUUUUUAAUUUUAUUUGAUUAUUUUUAUUUUUUGCCUUUUUAGGGCCGCAUCUGUGGCAUAUGGAGGUUCUCAAGUUAGGGGUCCAAUCAGAGCUGUAGCCGCUGGCCUACACCAGAGCCACAGCAAUGUGAGAUCUGAGCCACGUCUGCAAGCUACACCAGAGCUCAUGGCAAUGCCGGAUCCUUAACCCACUGAGCAAGGCCAGGGAUCGAACUCUCAUCCUCAUGGAUGCUGGUAGGGUCCGUUAACCACUGAGCCACGACAACAACUCUAUUUUGUUUUUGUUUUUCGUUUUAAUUUUGUUUGGGUACAUUGGAAAUAUAAUAAAACCUGGCCAUGCCAAGUGCAGCCAGUAGAGGGCAUUUUCUAUCCCUCCAAAAAACGUUGCUCUUACUCAGAAAUGGUGUUUUCUCUUUCGUUUCCCAGAACUUCCAGAGACCCACUAGAGUAUCUUUCUUCCCCCCCAUUUCAGCCCCCGUCCCAUUUCAUUCCUGUUAUAAAAAAUCCGCAGUGAUGAGAGUGGGGACUCUGCUUUAGAGUGAGUGACCAGAAAGCAAUCUUCAUCUUAGUGUAAUAAUGUAAUGUAACCACAAGAUGGUAGCAUAGACUGUACAAAUUGUUUAAGUAGUGGCCCCCCCCCCCCGCGCCAAGGAAAACUACAAACUAAAUGGUUAGUGCUUAUCAGCUGCAAAAUUAAAUGAAAAAAUUAAUGCUAUUAUGCCAAAUGAUUCCAGCAAAAAGAAAAUUCCUGUUAUCGAGGAAAAUGCAGUCAUUUACCUUGUAUGAGGACUAAUGAUAUUUGCUAGUUUCUCUGAUGGAAAACAAGUCCAUCUUUAAGGUCUCCAGUCUUUUCUAGAUAUAAAAAUAGCAUAUCUUUUAAAUCUCUGAGACUGUUAGGUGAUAGAAAGAAACUUUCCAAAGAAAGACAAAUAUGUGAGGUGACUUAUAUGUGGAAUUAAAAAAAAUUAUACAAAUGGAUUUAUUUACAAAACAGAAACAGACUCACAGACAUAGAAAACAAACUUACCAAACGAGAGAGGUGAGGAAGGGGUGGAAGGGAUAAAUUAGGAGUUUGGGAUUGGCAGAUACAAACUACUACGUAUAAAAUAGAUAAACAACAAGGUCUUAUCGUAUAGAACAGGAUAUUAUAUAUUCAGUAUCUUGUGGAAGUUCCUGUUGUGGCUCAGUGCGAAUGAACCAGACUAGCAUCCAUGAGGAUGGGGGUUUGACCCCUGGCCCCACUCAGUGGGCUAAGGAUCCAGUGUUGCUGUGAGCUGCAGUGUAGGUUGCAGACAUGGCUCAGAUCUGGUGUUGCUGUGGCUGUGGUGUAGGCUGUCAGCGGCAGCUCAGAUUCAACCCCUAGGUUGGGAACUUCCAUAUGCUGC